AGGAUCUGCCUUAUACCAAGUCAGGCCAUUUGGUGCCAUCUAGCUCAAUACUGGUGGCAUGGACUAGCAUUGGGUCUCCAGGAUUCCAGUGUGGCUCUUCCCUCGGCACGAGGGAGGAAGGGGAGAGCCAGACCGCGCUGGAGGACAAGAAAGAAGAGGGGGAAGGCAGCAGCAGCAGCAGCAGAAUGGAGGGCUUUGUCUGGCAUUGAUGAAGAUGAAGCAGACGCAAACGUCUGAUGCUUGGAGCUCUCUGAUUUCAGAGUUGAUGGGGUGAACCCAGUGAAAAGCUACAAGAAAGACUCAGAACUGAUAGACUACUGUAUGCUCUCCUCUCUUUCUCUCUCCCUUCCCCCACUGCCAUUUCCUCUGCUCUUACCACUGACUUCAAGUUGCUCUUUUGUGCUGAUGGGCUUGUCUUUCCUCGACCAACAUAGAUCGUUUCUAGAAUCACUAGUCGAUCCAUGCAUUUUUUUGUUUGUUUAUUUAAAUCUUACCUAAGUGGAUUAGCUGUGCUCCUCCUGUCUACUUCCUGGUGGUUUUGUUCUGCUGCUAGAGGUUUGUCUUCCAAUGAGAAUUCUCACUGAUGGAAUUAUAGCAAAGUGAGUUCUUCACUGAGGCAUACCUAAUGCGGAUCAGAACAGGCAAUGGCAUAAUUGGGUUUGCGGAGAACUACGGCACCAGAGGAACAUGGCUUUUUCCAAGAAUUACUCUCUCUCUCUCUCUCUCUCUCUCUCUGUGGUUGCAAAUAAAAAAUGAUACCGGGGUCACUCUUUCUGCCACCCUUUGUUAAAGUGAUAACAAGCGUUUUCAGGCACAUCUGUUUAGUACUCCCCAAAUCCUUGGUUAGUAAAGUCAGCCAGCUAGACCUGUAAAUUUCUCUCUAGGGGGGACGGGGGCUUCACAAAUCUCUCCGUUUAUAAGUCAUGUUGCUGUACCUC